rnacentral:lncRNA from 1 species
UUCUCAGAUCUAGCAUCCUAGAUCCCUUCCAACCAGACCUAAUCUAUUGGUCAGUUCACACAGGAUGCUGCUGUACUGGUGCUAAGAACCAGCCUUCUAUGGUGUAUAUAGAUGUAGAAAGGUCUUAUUUUUUUUUCUUCCCACUGUCUGUUGCUCUGUAGCUCAUAUCCCCCAUCAUGGUUACAGAAAUUUACAUGUGGUGUUUGGCAAAAUUGUGUGACUUUGAGAUGCCAUCAUUGUAUAAAGUAAAUAAAUGAUGGGCAGGUGGUGACAACUUAUGAGGACUCAUUAAGAACAUGAACACAAAAGUUUGCAAAUAUUAUGGAGACCCAAAUAUAUGGUUGGUGUACAGUUUGUAUACUCAAAUAGGUUCAAAGGAUGUGGGAAAAAAGGGAGAGAUGGGUGAAUGGAGCUGCACUUCCUUUCUGAGCAAUUGUCUUCAAAGUGACCUAUUUUCUCCUGUGCCUUGACACCAGUAAAUAUGGCUCAAUAGUGGUCUGAUAGGUCAGGGAACCCUAUAAUGAAUAUACACAUUAUUUUUCAAGCCCCCCAAAAUUCUUUUCAGAGUCUUUCUUUCAGUAUCUCCUUUUAUUAAUCACACACACACAUACACACACACACACACACACACACACACACACACACACACACACACACACACUGACUUGCCAUAUUCUGACUGCAAGUACUUUUAUUUUCCUGGGUUUUAUUUUCCUACAUUGUAGCUUUUAAUUCCCUUCCUCUCAAGGAUUCCAAGGAAAAACUUCAGAAUUUGUCUUUAUAUGCAUUCAAUGAAACCAAGAUAUUUUGCCAACACCACAUGUAAACACAAUUAUAUUUAAGAGCUUGGAAUGUUUCAGCAAACUCGUAAGUUUCAAAGGAGCAUUAAGUCUACUGAGCACAGAGGACUCUUUUCAGGGCUCAGGGCUUUUACUCUUGAUCACAGCGUGGCCUCAGACUCACUGAGGGCAAGUGAGCAGCGCACAGUGCUCAUGGGAUGUGCAUUGAGAAGCUGCUCACAGAUCAUGUCCUGAAAGAAAACCCCUGGAGCUUGGGCACUGGGUGUGCCUGAGUCAUGUUGCCUCCAAAUAGUCGAUCGAUGAGCAUAUUCUUAACCCACAGAAACUUCUAACUCUGUAAGUCAGACCCUGUUGUAAGAACCUCAUUAAGAUAAUGACAUUUGCAGAAACUAUAAUGAAUAAUAGUAAUAAUAAUUAAUAAUAAUAAUACUUGCCUAAGAGUUGUCCUUCUGGAGGCCAUGAGGCUCGGGUCUCCUGUUACUAGGUGGGGCCUGCAUGGGAAGUGUGCAGCUGUGGGAAGCUGGGAACGUCUCUCCGGCUCGGCAUCUCACUGACAAACCUGAAAUCACUUUUCUCAAGUGACUCACAGGAAGGUGGAGGCCCCGUGAGGUUCAGAACUAUCAGAGCUGACCUUGAGGUCCAACCAACUCUUCACAGGCCUGUAGAGUCACUGUGAAUUCACAACGGUGUAUCGUGUCAGAUGAGGAACUUACUUGGUCUGUUGGCAUUCCGGGUGCAUUCUUUGUAAGAUAUGGGAGCAUGGCAGGGACCAUUAAGGAAAACAGACUACAUAUUUCAGUCUGAGUGGGGUGUUCAUAACUGGCCUCAUUAGAAUACCGUGAGCCUCUCAUUUUCUGAGGCUUUUCUUGUUAACCUGUGGAUUUUAAUGCCCUUAAACAGAGAAGGAAAUCGCUCCCUGCCUUCAAUAAGAGUAGUCUCUACUUUUUCUUUUUUUUAAAAAAAAAGUUCAUAGACUAUAUUUUUCCUUGUCAACUCCCAGAUCUUCCUCACCUCCCUAUCCACCCAACAGCACGUUCUUUCUC